rnacentral:rRNA from 1 species
UACGGAGGGUGCAAGCGUUAUCCGGAUUUACUGGGUUUAAAGGGUGCGCAGGCGGAUAUGUAAGUCAGUGGUGAAAUCUCCGGGCUUAACCCGGAAAUUGCCGUUGAUACUAUAUAUCUUGAAUGCUGUGGAGGUAAGCAGAAUAUGUCAUGUAGCGGUGAAAUGCUUAGAUAUGACAUAAAAUACCUAUUGCGAAGGCAGCUUACUACGCAGAUAUUGACGCUCAUGCACGAAAGCGUGGGGAUCAAACAGG